rnacentral:miRNA from 1 species
UGUGUGUGUGUGUGUGUGUGUGUGUGUGUGUGUGUGUACACACACACACGUACACACAUACAUACAUAUACAUACAUU